ensembl:lncRNA
AUGACAACGCAAACACCACCAACAGUUGAAGAACUCACCGAAAGUGACAGUGAAGAACAACUUUCAGCGACAAUGACAAGAAGGAGAAAAGUAAAAACAGCUGUUUACUCUGGAGAUGAAAGUGAUGACACAAAUGAAGGAGAUUUCAAAAUUACAAUUCAACCAUCACCAACAGUUGAAGAACUCACCGAAAGUGACAGUGAAGAACAACUUUCAGCGACAAUGACAAGAAGGAGAAAAGUAAAAACAGCUGUUUACUCUGGAGAAGAAAGUGAUGACACAAAUGAAGGAGAUUUCAAAAUUACAAAUCAACCAUCACCAACAGUUCAAGAACUCACAGAAAGUGACAAUGAAGAAGAACAAAUUUCGGAGACAAAGGGAGAAGAGCACACAAAAAAAAAUGAUAAAGAGGACACGUACAGGACGUGCGUAGUCGGUCCAAAAGAAUUCAAAUUUAAGGUCGCAAGAAAAAAUUGGAUAAAAAUAAAGCCGGAAAAGGGAAAAAGACAACUGAGACCCCCAUGGACCGAUAUAUUCUACAAUGAAUUUAGAAAAAGCAACCCAUCGUGCACAUUGGCCUUUAAGUACCAAAAUAUUAGAACACGUGACAGCCGGAAAAAAAAAUCACCAUACCUCCGCGCCACAGCCAAGUGCACGUUUGAAGGUUGUGAGGCGGUUUACACUUUCACCAGGAAAGGCCCACCAAAAUACAACGCAAAAAAGAUUACUGUCAUGGUGACACGGUUUGGGGAAGUCAAACACCUUAAGUCUCAGAGAAAAUGUAGGCCUGCAAGAUACCUCAGGAGAGGAAAAAUAGCAAAAGCAGUAAAAAGUGGUGUGAGCAACUGCUAUUACGAAUUGCUGAAAAACACACCUGUGGAGGAGAUCAUGGCUGGUAACAUAACCAGAAGCCUCACAAAAGACGUGUUAAAAAUCAUAUCUUACGAGAUCAGAAGCGUUGCAAGGCUUCACAAUGACCAAUUGUUGGAGCUAAUGCUCACUCAGAGGAUUAUCAGAGAGAGUGGUCGGCAAACUCGGCAUGCAUCAUCGAACGGCUAUCUGCAGCUCCUCCAGAUUGACCCUUUUGCAACCCACUUAUACACUGAUGCGGGCCUGCAAAUUUUGGCUGAACAUUUGAGAGGACCCAUGCCCACUACCCUAUACCUCGAUGCAACAGGUGGGGUAGUUCAGAAAGUACCCCAUCAGUCAAAAAGAGUUCUCUAUUAUGCCCUGGUUCUGCCUGGAAUGGGCAAGGACAAGCCGCCUUUGCCAGUCGCGGAGUUCGUGACUAACAGCCAUAGUGUUCCAUCAAUAUCGCACUGGCUUAUGGAGUUCAAUAGGAGGCUGUCCCACAUUACCGGGAGAAAAAUUGCACAAAUAGAGACAGAUUACAGCUGGGCGUUGAUGAACAGUGUGCUCAUCUCUUUUAACCACGAGGAUGUCUCUGCAUACCUUUGCAGAGCAUUCGAAAUUGUGUCGGGACAACUCAAAGUCAUUCCAAAAUUCACUGUGCUCCAUUUGUGCUCUGCACAUAUACUUAAGGCAGUCUCCCAGGCCUUUGGGAGAACAACCAGUGACAGAGGCAUAAAGGAGUAUGCAACAUACAGUUUUGCAUACCUGCUGAACUGUACAAGCUUGCCAGAAGCACUUGAGGUUUUCUACCACAUGUGUGUGCUGUUUGAUGCAGAACAGCACACAGACUCAAUCAAUACCAGUGAAAGGUACCUGAAUGGCUGCAUUUUGCAGAGUCAACACAUGGAUAUUGAGGAAACACAAGAGGGGAGCAGGAUCUGUGAUUCCAGUGACCCUUCCAAUGGCAUUCUCGCAAGGUCCCCCUUCAUGCAGGCUUUUGACCUAAGAAGGGAGCAAGCCACAUGUGACGUCCUGUCUGAUGAGGAAGCAGACAAAAACAACAACUACCACUGCCCAGGUAUAAUAAAUGUCUUGCUUAAGACAUACAUGGGCAUCUUUCCCUUGUGGAGUGGUGUACUACUCGCUGAUCUAUCGAGGCACUCUAAAGGAUCUAUCACAAGAGGAACAGGGUGCAAAACACGGGAAACCAACUGCCAUGUCGAACUAUGGUUUAGGUUGGUGAAACACAGCAUUCUGUGCAAAAGAAAAUACCUCAGACCUGCAGAGUUUGUCUCUAAAAUGUUUGCCUCAGUGCAGGGGAGGUAUGUUGAACAUGUGAUUCAACAAAGCCUGCCAAUUGAUGUACUUCAGAGAAACCUUCAAAGCUCUGUUAAGCUGGAAGAUGACCCAGAAGAGCAAUGGUGUAAGAGGGACACCUCUUCUGGCAGUUCAAAGCGCAAGUCAAAAUAUUUCAAUCCUCCAAAAAACAUUCCAAACCCCAAGACCAAGACCAAAAGCAAGAAGAUCAUAAAAGUGGAGCAGAAUCAACGGGUUGAAGAUGCACAAUUAAACUUGCUGUGGAAAAAGAGGGGAACAGAGAUAAUUGUUGCAACCCUGCCAUCCCAAGUGAAGGGUCGGAGCCUCUUCAUCCACCACACUGAUCUACGGUGUCUACGACCCCACCUGUGGUUGACAGGAGAGGUAGGCGUAUUAAAAGCUCUUCCUCUCACUGCUAGUCUAUCUGUCUUUCAAUUUGUAGUCCUUCAAACUGAUGUAUUUGGAGGACUGAAGACCUCCAUUAACUCACACACACACACACACACACACACACACACACACACACACACACACACACACACACACACACACACACACACACACACACACACACACACACACACACACACGUAA